UACGUAGGGUGCGAGCGUUGUCCGGAAUUAUUGGGCUUAAAGCGCUCGUAGGCGGUGUGUCACGUCGGCCGUGAAAACCUGCAGCUUAACUGUGGGCGUGCGGUCGAUACGGGCAUCACUGGAGUUCGGCAGGGGAGACUGGAAUUCCUGGUGUAGCGGUGAAAUGCGCAGAUAUCAGGAGGAACACCGGUGGCGAAGGCGGGUCUCUGGGCCGAUACUGACGCUGAGGAGCGAAAGCGUGGGGAGCAAACAGG
rnacentral:rRNA from 1 species